GGGGGGGGGGGGGGGGGGGGGGGGGGGGGGGGGGGGGGGGGGGGGGGGGGGGGGGGGGGGGGGGGGGGGGGGGGGGGGGGGGGGGGGCGCCGCCGCUGCGAUCGAUGGCUCGGCGCUCGCCGUGCGGCCUGGCCGCGCUCGGCGCUGCAUUGGCGCUGCCUGCCCGCGCCCCGGAAGGCGCUGCGCUCGAACCGGGGCCGCGGCCGCUCCGCCAGGUCGAGGAUGGGCCGGCGCUCCUCGGACACGGAGGAGGAGAGCAGGAGCAGGAGGAAGAAGAAGCACCGCCGGCGCUCCUCCUCCAGCAGCUCCUCGGGCAGCCGCAGCUACGGCCGCAAAAAGGCGGGCAGGAAAUCCAGGUCCAGGUCACGCUCUCGGGAUCUCCAGUCCUGGUCCCAUUCCUAUGAGAAAAGGCGCAGACACAGAUCCAGCAGCUCCUCCUCCUACGGCUCCAGGAGGAAGCGCAGCCGCUCCAGGGGCAGAGGCAAAUCCUACAGAUCCCAGAGGUCCAGGUCCAAGAGCAGAACCAGGAGGUAAGAGACUCCCCCAGGAAAAAACAGAGUUAUUUCUACUGCAGAAACACUCCUGGGAAUCCUGAGCUUGGAGUAAAUGGAAAUCAUGGCUGCAGGUGAUGUUUAAACCACACAUCCCUUGAAAUCCCUAAUUUGGGGUCUCCUGAUUGCUUUCCACACAUUGAAUCUUUCAGUUGCCCUGGUGAUAUAAUCUUGAAGAUAUUUAUUUUGCAUUUGAUUCAAGCAAAAA
rnacentral:lncRNA from 12 species